CAAGUAAUUAAGUGCAUGUGGUGGAUGCCUUGGCAGUCAGAGGCGAUGAAAGACGUGAUAGCCUGCGAAAAGCUCCGGGGAGGCGGCAAAUAUCCUUUGAUCCGGAGAUGUCUGAAUGGGGGAACCCACCUACUUUAAGGUAGGUAUUGCAACAUGAAUACAUAGUGUUGCAAGGCGAACGAGGGGAAGUGAAACAUCUCAGUACCCUUAGGAAAAGAAAUCAAUUGAGAUUCCCUCAGUAGCGGCGAGCGAACGGGGAUCAGCCCAUUAAGUUAUGUGUGUUUUAGUGGAACGCUCUGGGAAGUGCGAACGUAGAGGGUGAUAUUCCCGUACACGAAAGGGCACACAUAAUGAUGACGAGUAGGGCGAGGCACGUGAAACCUUGUCUGAAUAUGGGGGGACCAUCCUCCAAGGCUAAAUACUCCUGACUGACCGAUAGUGAACCAGUACCGUGAGGGAAAGGCGAAAAGAACCCCUGUGAGGGGAGUGAAAUAGAUCCUGAAACCGCAUGCAUACAAGCAGUGGGAGCACCUUCGUGGUGUGACUGCGUACCUUUUGUAUAAUGGGUCAGCGACUUAUAUUCAGUAGCGAGGUUAACCGUAUAGGGGAGCCGUAGAGAAAUCGAGUCUUAAUAGGGCGUUUAGUUGCUGGGUAUAGACCCGAAACCAGGCGAUCUAUCCAUGAGCAGGUUGAAGGUUGGGUAACACUAACUGGAGGACCGAACCCACUGUCGUUGAAAAGCCAGGGGAUGACUUGUGGAUAGGGGUGAAAGGCUAAUCAAGCCUGGUGAUAGCUGGUUCUCCCAGAAAGCUAUUUAGGUAGCGCCUCGGACGAAUACCAUAGGGGGUAGAGCACUGUUUCGGCUAGGGGGUCAUCCCGACUUACCAAACCGAUGCAAACUCCGAAUACCUAUGAGUACUAUCCGGGAGACAGACUGCGGGUGCUAACGUCCGUAGUCAAGAGGAAAACAAUCCAGACCGCCAGCUAAGGCCCCAAAAUCAUAGUUAAGUGGGAAACGAUGUGGGAAGGCAUAGACAGCUAGGAGGUUGGCUUAGAAGCAGCCACCCUUUAAAGAAAGCGUAAUAGCUCACUAGUCGAGUCGGCCUGCGCGGAAGAUGUAACGGGGCUAAAACUAUGUGCCGAAGCUGCGGAUGUAUACUUUGUAUACGUGGUAGGGGAGCGUUCUGUAAGCCGAUGAAGGUGUGUUGAGAAGCAUGCUGGAGGUAUCAGAAGUGCGAAUGCUGACGUGAGUAACGACAAAACGGGUGAAAAACCCGUUCGCCGAAAGACCAAGGGUUCCAGUCCAACGUUAAUCGGGGCUGGGUGAGUCGACCCCUAAGGCGAGGCCGAAAGGCGUAGUCGAUGGGAAAAUGGUUAAUAUUCCAUUACUUCUGUGUAAUGCGAUGAGAGGACGGAGAAGGCUAAAUCAGCCUGGCGUUGGUUGUCCAGGUGAAAGGAUGUAGGCAUGUAUCUUAGGCAAAUCCGGGGUACUCUAUGCUGAGAUCUGAUAGCAAGCUGUACUUGUACAGCGAAGUGGUUGAUGCCAUGCUUCCAGGAAAAGUCUCUAAGCUUCAGUUACACAGGAAUCGUACCCGAAACCGACACAGGUGGUCAGGUCGAGUAGACCAAGGCGCUUGAGAGAACUCUGCUGAAGGAACUAGGCAAAAUGGUACCGUAACUUCGGGAGAAGGUACGCUGUUGUUGGUGAUGGAACUCGCUUCCUGAGCUGACGACAGCCGCAGAAACCAGGCCGCUGCAACUGUUUAUUAAAAACAUAGCACUCUGCAAACACGAAAGUGGACGUAUAGGGUGUGAUGCCUGCCCGGUGCUGGAAGGUUAAUUGAUGGGGUUAGCGUAAGCGAAGCUCUUGAUCGAAGCCCCAGUAAACGGCGGCCGUAACUAUAACGGUCCUAAGGUAGCGAAAUUCCUUGUCGGGUAAGUUCCGACCUGCACGAAUGGCAUAAUGAUGGCGGCGCUGUCUCCAGCAGAGGCUCAGUGAAAUCGAAAUCGCUGUGAAGAUGCAGUGUACCCGCGGCUAGACGGAAAGACCCCGUGAACCUUUACUGCAGCUUGACACUGAACUUUGACCUUACUUGUGUAGGAUAGGUGGGAGGCUUUGAAGCUGGAACGCUAGUUCCAGUGGAGCCGUCCUUGAAAUACCACCCUGGUAAUGUUGAGGUUCUAACUCUGUCCCGUGAUCCGGGACGAGGACCGUGUCUGGUGGGUAGUUUGACUGGGGCGGUCUCCUCCUAAAGAGUAACGGAGGAGUACGAAGGUGCGCUCAGCGUGGUCGGAAAUCACGCGUAGAGUAUAAAGGCAAAAGCGCGCUUAACUGCGAGACCCACAAGUCGAGCAGGUACGAAAGUAGGUCUUAGUGAUCCGGUGGUUCUGUAUGGAAGGGCCAUCGCUCAACGGAUAAAAGGUACUCUGGGGAUAACAGGCUGAUACCGCCCAAGAGUUCAUAUCGACGGCGGUGUUUGGCACCUCGAUGUCGGCUCAUCUCAUCCUGGGGCUGAAGCAGGUCCCAAGGGUAUGGCUGUUCGCCAUUUAAAGAGGUACGCGAGCUGGGUUUAGAACGUCGUGAGACAGUUCGGUCCCUAUCUACCGUGGGCGCUGGAAAUUUGAGAGGAUCUGCUCCUAGUACGAGAGGACCAGAGUGGACGAACCUCUGGUGUACCGGUUGUGACGCCAGUCGCAUCGCCGGGUAGCUAUGUUCGGAAGGGAUAACCGCUGAAAGCAUCUAAGCGGGAAGCCUACCUCAAGAUAAGAUUUCCCUAGGACUUUAUGUCCUCUAAAGAGCCGUUCGAGACUAGGACGUUGAUAGGUUGGAUGUGGAAGCAUAGUGAUAUGUGAAGCUGACCAAUACUAAUUGCUCGUGAGGCUUGACUA
rnacentral:rRNA from 1 species